rnacentral:lncRNA from 1 species
GAACGAGUAAAGUCUGUGUUCCACGCCAAAGAAUUUGGAAAAAUUAUUAACUUUAAAAGUCCAGAGGAUGCUAAGUGGAUCCUUUCUAAACUGGAAGAAGUGAGAGAGAAUCGACCAAAAUCAUAAUGAAUGGAGAAGCACCAGGAGAUGAAGAGUACUGAGCAGCUACCUUCUAACUCCUUUUGAACACGAAGAACUAGUUUCAUAUCAGCAAUAUUUUACAAAUAAAGAAAAUGAAAAAGGAUGAGGAGAGGAUUGAUGAAAUUGUCACACCAAUCUAUGGAUAUAUCAUAAAAAGAAAACUAUUAUUAAGUUAAAAAAAAAC